UACAGAGGGUGCGAGCGUUAAUCGGAAUUACUGGGCGUAAAGGGUGCGUAGGUGGUUUUAUAAGUCAGAUGUGAAAUUCCCGGGCUUAACCUGGGGACUGCGUCUGAUACUGUGAAGCUAGAGUACUGUAGAGGAAAGUGGAAUUUCCGGUGUAGCAGUGAAAUGCGUAGAUAUCGGAAGGAACAUCAGUGGCGAAGGCGACUUUCUGGACAGAUACUGACACUGAGGCACGAAAGCGUGGGGAGCAAACAGG
rnacentral:rRNA from 1 species